rnacentral:lncRNA from 1 species
CCCCACCCGACCUCUAGUGUUAACCCCCACCUCUCCGUAGUAAACAAAUACAUAUGCAACUGGACCAGACCACUAACUAAUGCUAAGGGAAGGGCAGUCCCAUAAUCAGUAAAGCAAGGAUCUGGAUCUGUAGUCCUAGGAUCAAAGAAAGGAAGGGAUGCUUUGGGGCCAUUUUGGAGAGUCUAAGUUGUGCAGUCAGUUCUUUUUGUUAGAUGCACCGGCAAUUACGUAUAGGGCCUCUACUACUUAGUUCCAUUCUUUAUUCUUAGGUUAAGCCGGAGAAGCACUAGUCUCUUUCUUUAUUAUAGGGCAUAGUAAUAGAAUGGGGUGUUGGAUUACCGGUUUGUGGGGAAGGUAUUGUAUGCCUUUGUUGCUUCCUGUCAUCAGUAUUAAGUCCCGUUAGCCCAGAUUCGAUUCUUAUAGUGAAAGUAGCCGAAGAGUGAAAGGUGGGAGUGUCGGGCUUACUUCUUUCUGUGGUGUAAUGUCCUUAUGGUUGUAAUGUCAAUACCGAUAU